UACGGAGGGUGCGAGCGUUGUCCGGAAUCAUUGGGCGUAAAGGGCGCGUAGGUGGCCACUUCAAGCGUGCGGUGAAAGUCGGGGGCUCAACCCCUGAUCGGCCGUGCGAACUGGGGGGCUGGAGCACUGUAGAGGCAGGCGGAAUUCCGGGUGUAGCGGUGGAAGUGCGUAGAGAGUCCGGAAGAACACCGGUGGCGAAGGCGGCCUGCUGGGCAGUUUGCUGACGACUGAGGCGCGACAGCGUGGGGAGCAACAGG
rnacentral:rRNA from 1 species